AUACAGAGGGUGCGAGCGUUAAUCGGAAUUACUGGGCGUAAAGCGCGCGUAGGCGGCUUAUUAAGUCAGAUGGGAAAUCCCCGGGCUCAACCUGGGAACUGCAUCUGAUACUGGUAAGCUAGAGUUUUGGAGAGGGAAGUAGAAUUUCAGGUGUAGCGGUGAAAUGCAUAGAGAUCUGAAGGAAUACCAGUGGCGAAGGCGACUUCCUGGCCAAAAACUGACGCUGAGGUGCGAAAGCGUGGGUAGCAAACGGGAUUAGAUACCCCAGUAGUCC
rnacentral:rRNA from 1 species